GUGCCAAUGGUCAUAUUGCACUCAGUGUUGAAGUCCAGAAAUUUGGUUAAAAGUUAGCUUUUCCCCAUUUUGGCAAUCAGUUCGUCACAAAUCUUUGUUAACUCUUCUAUCUCUUUAUUCUUUUGUUCCAGUGUUCUUUCCAAUGCGUCCACCUUCAGCUGCUCUUUACGAAGGCUGGCCUGAUACGCUGCUUGCUCUUGCUGAGCCUUGCCUCUCACUUGUGCAAUUUCAGCAUUGGCUCUGUCCAGUUUUUCCUCAGCGUGGAUUUUGAGUGCUUGAUACCUCUGUUCUUCUUUCUUUACUCGUGAUAAAUACUCCUGCGCACAUUUCUUUAAUACUUCUUCGUUCUUCCGAAACCCCUCCAACACUUCCUUCAUUUUUUC
rnacentral:lncRNA from 1 species